GUGGUUGUAGCUCAGCUGGUUAGAGCGCUGGAUUGUGGUUCCAGAGGUCGCCGGUUCGAAACCGGUCUUCCACCCCA
rnacentral:tRNA from 2 species